rnacentral:lncRNA from 1 species
AUGGGGAAUGGAGAAAGAGACUGCGUGCGCAACGGGGAAGCCAGCCCUGCGACAGAAGGAGCGCCACAGCGCCGGCUCCCUGGAGUGCGAGGAGCAGGGGCGCAGCCCGCACCCACCCCACAGUCGCGCCUUCGCUGGGCCGCCAAGCGGAACGCGCCUCCCCGCCGCCCGCCUCCACCAGCUCGGCGCGCAGCCGCCCGCCAGUCCUUGGCUCCGGAGGCCGCCCCGACCCGGAGCUCCAGGCACCCUGACGCGGGCCUGGACCCGGCGCCCCAACGGAAAAUCACGGAGAGGGGGAAGAGCAGGGUGCGGGGUCACUCCUCGCGUAAACCUCCAAACUGCGGCCCCGUGCCUGGCAAGGGAGCUCCAAACAGGACCGGGAGCUAUUUGGAAAAAGCGGGGAGCGGGGACGGGGGGAAGCUAACUCGCCCAGGAAAGUUUCCACCCGUCCGAGAGAGCGAGCGUGGGUCGAAUGCACCCGAGCGCCCCGAACCUCAGAGCGGGCCUCCGGCCUCGGGCACUUGUUUAUUUCCGAGGUUACAACAGCGCGGCCCGGGAGGAGCAGCGAGGCCGAUCGGCCACGAGAGGGGGUUUCUGCAACUCUCGCGGCCCCGUUGCCUUCCCCGAGAGGCGCCCCUCUCGGCCCUGCACCCAGAGGACGCGGAGCUGGGCUGGGGACAGAGAUCGCGGGCUCCGCAGGAGGAAGGCGGGCGCGGGGACCGCGCUCCGGGUACACCUCACCCUGCUCCUGACUGGCCCCUGGCUCCUCGACCCCGCUCCGAGCGGCGAGGGCCCCGCCGGACACUGGCUGCGGCAGGCGCGGCCGGGAGUCCGGGGCGAGGGUGCCCAGCGGUCCACAUCCGUUGCCCAUCCGCAUCGAUGGACCUGCCAGCGGUCAGAGGACGAGGAUGGGGGCGGCGCCGCGUCUCGAGCACCCAGUCCCCAGCAGGGGCGGCCAGACCGGGUGUCCUCAGCACCCUGAUGUCCGGCCGGCUGCAGCCAGCCCCCCUCAUCCGCAGCCCCGGCCCGGGCUGGGCUGGCCAACUCCGGAGGAGCGCGGCGAGCCGGCGAUGGAGGGCGCGCCGGCUCCGCCAGCGGGCAACCUGCCCCGGCGCCGGCGAGCCGAGCUCCGGGGCAGCGGCCGCGGACCUGGGGUGA